AGCCGACAGAGCAUGCCAGGUGCCGGGUAUGGGAUCCGGUGAAAAGGGAACAUGGUGAAAAUCCAUGACGUUGGGCCGGCGCUGUAAGCGGGGACGAAGGAGCAAGAGACCACUGUUGUACCGAUCGAUAACGGGACAACGGGAAGGUGCUCCGGAGGGUGAUCCGUAAGUCAGAAGACCUGCCUGGCUGCACGUACACUC
rnacentral:ncRNA from 2 species